AAAAAAACAUCUUAAAAAAACAUUUUUUUAAAGUUUGUGAAAUGAGCACAAGAGUAGAGAGCAGCACACAUGCCAUGGAUUACAUUAGUCUGCCAACAGAGAAUGAAUUUCUAACAUU